rnacentral:rRNA from 1 species
AGUGAACGCUGGCGGUAGGCCUAACACAUGCAAGUCGAACGGCAGCACAGGAGAGCUUGCUCUCUGGGUGGCGAGUGGCGGACGGGUGAGUAAUACAUCGGAAUCUGCCCAGUCGUGGGGGAUAACUUAGGGAAACUUACGCUAAUACCGCAUACGACCUUCGGGUGAAAGAGGGGGAUCGCAAGACCUCUCGCGAUUGGAUGAGCCGAUGUCGGAUUAGCUAGUUGGCGGGGUAAUGGCCCACCAAGGCGACGAUCCGUAGCUGGUCUGAGAGGAUGAUCAGCCACACUGGAACUGAGACACGGUCCAGACUCCUACGGGAGGCAGCAGUGGGGAAUAUUGGACAAUGGGCGCAAGCCUGAUCCAGCCAUACCGCGUGGGUGAAGAAGGCCUUCGGGUUGUAAAGCCCUUUUGUUGGGAAAGAAAUCUUUCAGGCUAAUACCCUGGGAGGAUGACGGUACCCAAAGAAUAAGCACCGGCUAACUUCGUG